rnacentral:misc_RNA from 1 species
UUAGGGUUCUUGACUUAGGGUUUGGAAAAGAAAAAUUAUAGAAAAUGGUCAAUGGAUGCAAGUGAUCUUAAUGAGGGUUAGAAAUGGUCGAAUGAGACCAUUUGUGGUGUGUGUGAAUUGAUAGAACUGAAUUGCAAUUUAGAUUGGUUAGAGUCAAUAUGCAGACCGCUUGACCUAGGUCCCUUUCAGGGACCAAAACUGAAAAUUUACCAA